rnacentral:lncRNA from 1 species
CUCUUGCUGCUCCCAGGACUUCCAAGUGCACAUGAAGGAAAAAUGAAGUGCGAUUGUAUUGACUUUUCCUGAGUUUGGAGUAGUGGUGGUGGUGUGGGGGGGAGGAAUCUCAAACUCAGGAAAUCAUACUAAUGUUUCCAGGCUGUCACAGCCGCUUCUAACAAUUACCAGAGCAGUCAAGAAAAUCAUCGAGGUGAAUAAAUUAAAUAUAAGCAGAGGAAUAUUGCAAAAAUCUGUCCUUUCUUGUUCGCCCGAGUCAGGAAAUCCUCAUCCUGCCCCAGAGUUCUCGGUAUUUAUUGCAACUUAAAAAAUAUCAGCAGCCUGCGGCUUUGAGUCGCGUCUCCCUUCCUCCAGCCUGGCCGCAGGAAUCAGGGAUUCCUGUUAAAUCCACUCCGUUUUCCAUUUCAUUUCUAACAUGGAGGAGAGUCUGGAGGGUUUUAAUGGAGUUUUUCCUUUCUUUCUCCAGCUUGCUGUGUGUCAGGAAAUCAUGGGUUUCCUGCUGAAUUCCAUAUUAGGAUCAGUGGGCUUGUGAAGGGCUGCAAACAAUGGGAGCUCUGUGUGUAUUUGUACUUUGGAGGAACUCUGCCAGGACAUGGAGAAAGAAAAACACUAGAGGUCUCUCUGCAGACUGAAGUUUUUAGGCUUCCUGCUCCAUCCCGCGCUCGGGCUGCUCUCCGGGCUGCCGGCACUGAUUCGGACGAGGAGGAUUUCGGAGAGGCAUUGGACCUCCGUGGCUGUGCAGGGUAUGGCGAGGCUGGGAGCCCCGCUGCUGCCUUGGUGGUGUCGGCUCUGCUCUUCCCGGGAGUGAUCCCUGCUGAUCCCGGGCCCCAGGCUGUGUUCUUCAAUGUCUGCAGUGAAGGGGACUCAGCAGACCCACCCGCAGUCUUGCCUGGACAGGCCCAGUCCCAUCCCUGAGCUCUUCAGUGACCUGGCAGCGUGAUGGACCAGGCUUUCAGCACCUUCCCCAGGAGGUGCUUAAUGGAUGAAACAAGGAACAAGGUUGAACAAGGUUUGUUUCUUUACCUGGAUAGCCCCAGGUCUCUGCCUGCUCUUAACAGGCAUCUUAGUCAGUCAGUAAUUUAUGCAACCUGCCCCAUGUUCAUU